rnacentral:rRNA from 1 species
UACGUAGGCAGCGAGCGUUGUUCGGAGUUACUGGGCGUAAAGAGUGCGUAGGCGGUUUUCUAAGUUUGGUGUGAAAUCUCCCGGCUCAACUGGGAGGGUGCGCCGAAGACUGGAAGGCUUGAGUAUGGGAGAGGUAAGCGGAAUUCCUGGUGUAGCGGUGAAAUGCGUAGAUAUCAGGAGGAACACCUGCGGUGUAGACGGCUUACUGGACCAUAACUGACGCUGAGGCACGAAAGGUGC